AUUGAACGCUGGCGGCAGGCCUAACACAUGCAAGUCGAGCGGAUGAAGGGAGCUUGCUCCUGGAUUCAGCGGCGGACGGGUGAGUAAUGCCUAGGAAUCGGCCUGGUAGUGGGGGAUAACGUCCGGAAACGGGCGCUAAUACCGCAUACGUCCUGAGGGAGAAAGUGGGGGAUCUUCGGACCUCACGCUAUCAGAUGAGCCUAGGUCGGAUUAGCUAGUUGGUGGGGUAAAGGCCUACCAAGGCGACGAUCCGUAACUGGUCUGAGAGGAUGAUCAGUCACACUGGAACUGAGACACGGUCCAGACUCCUACGGGAGGCAGCAGUGGGGAAUAUUGGACAAUGGGCGAAAGCCUGAUCCAGCCAUGCCGCGUGUGUGAAGAAGGUCUUCGGAUUGUAAAGCACUUUAAGUUGGGAGGAAGGGCAGUAAGUUAAUACCUUGCUGUUUUGGCGUUACCAACAGAAUAAGCACCGGCUAACUUCGUG
rnacentral:rRNA from 1 species